rnacentral:rRNA from 1 species
GACGAACGCUGGCGGCGUGCUUAACACAUGCAAGUCGAACGGAAAGGCCCCUUUGGGGGUACUCGAGUGGCGAACGGGUGAGUAACACGUGAGUAACCUGCCCUUGACUUCGGGAUAACUUCAGGAAACUGGGGCUAAUACCGGAUAGGAAUCCUUGCUGCAUGGUGGGGGUUGGAAAGCUUCGGCGGUUUUGGAUGGACUCGCGGCUUAUCAGCUUGUUGGUGGGGUAGUGGCUUACCAAGGCUUUGACGGGUAGCCGGCCUGAGAGGGCGACCGGCCAACUUGGGACCUAGAUUAGGCCCCAGCUUCCAAGGGAGGGAACCGGGGGGAAUAUUGCAACAUGGGCGGAAGGCCGAUGCCGGAACGCCGCGGGGCGGAAUACCGGCCUUGGGGUGUAAACCGCUUUUCGCAGGGGCGAAGCUUGUGGUGACGGUACCUGCAGAAGAAGCACCGGCUAACUACGUG